rnacentral:rRNA from 1 species
AUACGUAGGUGGCAAGCGUUAUCCGGAAUUACUGGGCGUAAAGCGCACGCAGGCGGCCAGUCAAGUCUGACGUGAAAGCUCCUGGCUUAACUGGGAGAGGUCGUUGGAAACUGAUUGGCUUGAGGCAAUGAGAGGGACACGGAAUUCCCGGUGUAGUGGUGGAAUGCGUAGAUAUCGGGAGGAACACCAGUGGCGAAAGCGGUGUCCUGGCAUUGACCUGACGCUCAUGUGCGAAAGCGUGGGGAGCGAACGGGAUUAGAUACCCUGGUAGUCC